rnacentral:lncRNA from 1 species
GAGAGAGAUUGUUUAGAACUGUCUAAUCUUUAUUAAGGGAUGAGAUUACAUAUAUAUAGGUCCAUACACUUAGGGUUUUCGAAAUCAUAAGCAUGUAGAGUCAAAGGGGAGCCUAAGCUUUAAUUUGAACCGGCCAAUGGGUGUCUCCACACGUUUGAAGCAUCUUUCUUAUCCAAGACCAGAUGCUCUUCCUUUCCAGCCCUUGCCAGCCUGUCCUAGCUGUCAAGCCGUGCCUUCCUUAUCCUCUCAACGUUCGGAUAAGGUCUUGGCCGAGUGUAACUUCUCCUCAGUACAUCAAAGUUACUUGGAUAGUUACUUGACCGCUUUCACCUUGUACGGCCUGGUCACUUGUACGGCCUGGUACGGCCUCUCCAUCCGUACCAUCCCCUUCACCUUAUUCAGCCUCUUAACCCUUUUGCUCUCCUUAUGAUCUCAACUCCUUUGUGUCUUUACUUCACAUGUCUCAACUCAUCUCAACACUCCCCCUCAAGCUUAGCUUUGUAAAAGCCUAAGCUUGGAUGGCUAUGAGAUCUUCCUCAUUAAAAAACUCACCAAGGAGCUUAGCUUUGUAAAAGCCUAAGCUUGGAUGGCUAUGAGACCUUCCUCAUUAAAAACCUCACCAAGGCUUUGUGUCUUUACUUCACAUGUCUCAACUCAUCUCAACAAACAAUUUCAAAAGGUGAAAACUUAGAAGCAGAAUGCACAGCAUGAUUAUAUGCAAAUUCACAAUGUGGCAGAUAGUCUUCCCAAGAUUUCAGAUUCUUCUUAAUGAAUGCACGCAAGAGUGUUCCUACAGUUCUAUUAACUACCUCAGUCUGUCCAUCAGUUUGCGGAUGACAAGUAGUGGAGAACAACAACUUAGUGCCUAGUUUAGACCAAAGAGUUUUCCAAAAAUAACUAAGAAACUUAGUAUCUCUAUCAGAAACUAUGGUCCUAGGCAUGCCAUGUAAACGCACAAUCUCCUUAAAGAACAGAUUAGCUACAUGUAAUGCAUCAUCAGUUUUGUGACAUGCUAUAAAAUGUGCCAUUUUUGAGAACCUGUCAAAAACAACAAAGAUAGAAUCCUUCCCAGUCCUAGUUCUAGGCAAUCCAACAAUGAAAUCCAUAGAUAUGUCAUUCCAAGGAUGAUAAGGAAUAGGGAGAGGAGUGUACAAACCGUGAGACUGAACCUUAGACUUAGCUUGCUUGCAAGUUGCACAUCUCGCACAUAGUUUCUCCACAUCACUUUUCAUCCGAGGCCAAAAGAAAUGAUCCUGCAAAGUUUUAAGAGUCUUUGCAAUACCAAAGUGACCCAUGAGACUCCCUCCAUGAGAUUCCCUAACAAACAAAUCUCUCAAAGAGCAAUUAGGCACACAAAGUCUAUUAUCAUAAAAUAGGAAUCCAUCAUGUCUAAAGUAAUGUCCAGCAGCAAAUUUCUCACAAGAGUUAUAAGCUUCUUUAAAAUCUGGAUCAGAUUCAUACAUACCUUUAAUCUGCUCGAAACCUAACAACUUGGCAUCAAGAGUGUUUAAGAGAACAUACGUUCGAGAUAGUGCAUCAGCAACUAUAUUUUCUUUACCUUGUUUGUACUUGAUGACAUAAGGAAAGGUUUCUAUGAAUUCUACCCAUCUUGCGUGUCUCUUGCUGAGCUUGUUUUGUCCUUUCAGAUACUUGAGGGACUCAUGAUCAGUGUGUAUCACAAACUCCUUGGGCCACAAGUAGUGCUGCCAAGUCUGCAAAGCUCUCACCAAGGCAUACAGCUCCUUAUCAUAGGUUGCAUAGUUGAGAGUGGCGCCUCCAAGCUUCUCACUGAAGUAAGCUAUGGGUCUCUUUUCCUGCAUCAAAACAGCACCCACUCCAAUACCAGAAGCAUCACAUUCAAUCUCAAAGGUUUUAUUAAAAUCUGGAAGUAUAAGAAGAGGGGCGUGAGUAAGCUUCUCUUUAAGGCAUUGGAAGGCAGUCUCUUGUGCUUCUCCCCACUUGAAUCCGACUUCUUUCUUUAUCACUUCAGUCAAGGGAGCUGCUAUAGUGCUAAAGUCUUUAACAAACCGCCUAUAGAAACCAGCAAGCCCGUGGAAGCUCCUCACUUCACUUAUGGUCUUAGGAAUUGGCCAUUCUUGAAUUGCUCUUACCUUCUCCUGAUCCACUUUUACUCCAUCUGCACUCACAACAAAGCCUAGGAAGACCAAGUUAUCCGUACAAAAAGUGCAUUUCUUAAGGUUAGCAAAGAGUUUUUCUUUUCUCAACACAUCAAGAACAGACUUAAGAUGAUCUAUAUGCUCUUCUAGGUUCUUACUAUAAACAAGGAUAUCAUCAAAGUAUACUACCACAAACAAGCCUAUGAAAGAUCUAAGCACAUGGUUCAUCAAUCUCAUAAAAGUGCUAGGAGCAUUGGUUAAUCCAAAAGGCAUGACUAACCACUCAUACAACCCAUGCUUAGUCUUAAAGGCUGUUUUCCACUCAUCUCCCUCUUUCAUUCUUAUUUGAUGAUAUCCACUCUUCAAAUCUAUCUUAGAAAAGACACUAGCACCAUGCAAUUCAUCAAGCAUAUCAUCUAAUCUAGGAAUAGGGUGGCGAUACUUCACUGUUAUAUUGUUGAUGGCUCUACAAUCAACACACAUGCGCCAGGUCCCAUCUUUCUUAGGCACAAGGAGCACAGGCACAGCACAUGGGCUCAUACUCUCACGGAUAUGACCUUUCUCCAUCAGUUCCUCAACCUGUCUUUGUAGCUCCUUGGUUUCCACAAGAUUAGUUCUGUAUGCUGGUCUGUUGGGAAGAGUAGCUCCUGGUACAAAAUCAAUCUGAUGCUCAAUCCCUCGAAUAGGUGGCAAACCUAUGGGAUUAUCUUCUGGAAAUACAUCAUGGUAUUCCUGUAAAAGAGCUGAUAUCUCACUCGGAUACACCGGUGUACAAUCAAUUAGAGACAAAAGAGAUUCUUUAAAAAUAAAUAAGAGAACCGAUUGAUGAGAGCAAAGAGAUCUUUUGAUUUCGCUAGCUUUAGCAUAGAAGUUGUGUUGCUUAUCUGGUUUGAGAUCAAUCUCUUUCUUUUUCUGAAGCUGAAGCUGAUCUUUGUGCACUUCCUUAGGGGUCAGAGGCACCAAGACAGUUCGUUUGCCGCUGAACUCAAAAGAAUGUUUAUUGGUGAAGCCAUCGUGAAUGACACGCCUAUCAAACUGCCAAGGCCUUCCAAGUAAUAUAUGGCUGGCUUCCAUGGGUAUCACAUCACAGAGAAUGUCAUCUUCAUACCUCCCAAUGGACAAGGGUAUAGAAACCUGAGUAGAUACCCUCAUCUCGCCUUCUUCAUUAAGCCAUUGCAGUCGAUAAGGCCUAGGAUGUUUCUGAAUUUUCAAACCAAGCUUUUUUACCAUGGACUCACUAGCAACAUUGACACAGCUUCCACCGUCAAUGAUCAGGCUGCAGACCUUUCCUUGCACCAGACAACGUGUGUAGAACAAGUUCUCUCUUUGUUCUUGCUCCUCAGUUUUGUUUUGCAAACUGAGAGUCCUUCUUGCAACCAAAAGUCUACCUUGAACUGGUUCCUCUUCAUACUCAGCUUCUGAUAGUUCUUGAUCAGUAGUUGGUUUCUCAUCUUCAGAUUCAAACUCUCCAUUCUCCAGAAGAAUCAUAACUCUCUUGUUAGUACACUCAUUAGCAUAGUGCCCACGCCCUUGGCACUUAAAACACUUCACAUCUCUUGCACGCGAACUUGUAGCCUCCACUUUACCCUUAUCUUUGUUGUAGAUGCUACUAGACUUAGGCUCUUCUUUUGGCUGUGGCUUGCUCUCCUUCUGAUAGCUUGGUUUAUCUUCCUUAGAGGUUUGGUAUCUACUGGAACCAUAGACUAAGGGAACUACCUCCUUGGUGUUAGAUCAAUGAGCCCCAACCUGAUAUGUAUGGACUCCAUUGUCUUGUGUCUUGCAGCCUUGGUAAAGACGUCAGCUAACUGAUCUUCACUUCUGGUAUAACAAGACAAGAUCACUCCAAGAACCAUCAUCUGCCUCACUUUGUGACAAUCAACUUCUAUGUGCUUGGUUCUCUCAUGAAACACAGAGUUGGAGGCAAUGUGAAUUGCUGCUUGAUUGUCACAAUGCAUAGUCAUUGGUGUAGACUGCUCCACGCCUAGAUGCUUUAGUAUCCCCUUGAUCCACACCAACUCAUUGGUCAGCUUCAGCAUAGCUCUAUAUUCAGCUUCAGCACUUGAACACGCCACCACCUUUUGCUUCUUGCUUUUCCAUGUGACAAUGUUGCCUCCAAUGAAGGUGCAGUAGCCGGUGGUUGAUCUUCUGUCCUCUCUAUCUCCAGCCCAAUCAGCAUCACAGUAGCCCACCACUUCAGUACUCUUGUUACAGCCUAGCCAUACACCCUGGCCUGGAGCUCCAUUUAGGUACAUCAAGAUUCUUUCUAUCAUGCACCAAUGAUGUUCCUUUGGUGUUUGCAUGUGUUGGCUCACCUGGUUGACAGCAAAACAUAUAUCAGGUCUUGUGAUUGUUAGGUAGAUUAGCUUACCCACUAGCUUCCUAUAAAGCUUAGGAUCCUGAAGUGGCUUGCUGUCUUCAAGCUGCCCCUUGCGUGGGACUUUAUAUCCAUCCUCCAUUGGCAUCUUGGCUGUCUUUCCUCCAAGAGCCCCUGCAUCCUUUAAAAGAUCAAGUGUAUAUUUCCUUUGAGACAUGAACAAACCUUCCUUGGAUCUACAAAUCUCAAUACCAAGGAAGUAUUUCAUUUCUCCCAAGUCUUUGAUUUCAAAAACAGAUUUCAGAAACUCUUUAGUCUCUUUUAUCCCAACCUUAUCACUACCUGUUAUGAUUAUGUCAUCAACAUACACUAGGAGAGCUAUGAUACCUGAUGGCGUUGUGAGAGUAAACAGGGUGUGGUCAAGCUCGGAUUUGAUGAACCCACGUCCAUUCAGCGUAGUACUCAACUUGUUGUACCAAGCUCUUGGUGACUGUUUCAAGCCAUAAAUAGCCUUCUUUAGUCUCAAGACAUUCCCUGACUUCACUAGAUGUUCAAGGCCCGGAGGAGGAUACAUGUAUACUUCAUCUUCAAGUUCUCCAUGCAAGAAAGCAUUUUUCACGUCCAUUUGCCAAAGCUCCCACUCUAAGUUCACUGCCAAUGACAAUACUAUUCUGAUGGUGUGUAGCUUAGCAACAGGAGCAAAUGUAUCAAUGUAAUCCUCCCCAUAGGUCUGAGUAAACCCUCUUGCCACCAAUCUUGUUUUGCGCCUAUCAAUGGUUCCAUCAGCCUUGUAUUUGAUUGUGAAGAUCCACCUACUAGACACAGCCUUCUUCCCUUUAGGUAGUUCACUCUCAUACCAUGUGUCGUUUUUAAUCAUAGCUCCGGCCUCAUCUCCAACUGAUUCUCUCCAUAGAUCAUCCUGCAUAGCCUCUUCAUAUGACCUCGGUACUUGACUCUUAUCAAGGCUUACCAUGAGCAUGUAAUGUUCAUUAGGGAACUGGGCAAAUGAGCACACUGCUUGUGAUGGAUGAGCAACGGCAUGUGCAUUGUAAUACACCCUUGUAUUAGUCCAAUUCGAUGGAGGUUUCUUUACUCUUGAGCUUCUCCUCAAUGUAACCUCCUCCUGAACUUGUACUGGUUCUGAAGCCUCAACUCUCUCCUCUUCUAGUACUUCUUGUUCCUCUCUUCCAGACCUCUCUUGUCCUUCACUCUCAGGUACACAUACCUCUUCCUCAGGUACAUGUAUCUCUUCUUCUUGACCCUGAUCAUGAGUUCCGGACACUUCUUCUUCUUGUGCAUUUGUCUCGGAUUCUCCCCCCUCAUGAUCAUGGUUAGGUGCUUCUUCAGCUUCGUGUCUCUUGUCACCGUCUUGACUCUUCUGAUCCUGGGUUAAAUUAAUCCCAAGACCCUCCAGAAUACGUCUUAGCCCGGCUGCUCUGUCUGGUGAGUGAGCUAGAUCUUUUAGCUCAUCCCAUUUUCUCUCACUGUAAUAUCCUCUUGAUUCCAUAAACUUCACUUCCCUGGAUAUAAGAACUCUCUUUGCUAUAGGAUCAUAGCAUUUGAACCCCUUUUGAGUAGUUGAAUAUCCAAUGAACAUAGCCCUUGUGCUCUUUGCUUCUAGCUUGUUCCUCAUCCCACUUGGUACCAUCACAAAGCAUACGCAGCCAAACACUCUUAAGUGUGUUAGUGAUGGUUUGAUCUUGUUUAGCACUUCAAAUGGAGACUGAUCCUCAAGCACUCUUGUUGGUAUCCUAUUGAUCAGAUAACAUGCAGAGGCGACUGCAUCACUCCAAAAUCUCUUUGGGACAUUAGCUUGAAACAUCAUAGACCUUGCAACUUCCAUCAGAUGUCUGUUCUUCCUCUCAGCCACACCAUUCUGUUGUGGUGUAUAAGGACAGCUCGUUUGAUGAAGAAUGCCAUGUUGAGCUAAGUGUUGCUUGAAUGCAUGACUUGUAUAUUCUCCACCAUUGUCUGAUCUGAAAAUCUUAAUCUUGGCAUCAUAUUGGUUAGUUACAUAAGUCUGAAAAUUCUUAAAUGCUUCAAGCACCCUAUCCUUAGUUUGAAUGAGUGUUAUCCAGGUGUAUUUGGAUUUUUCAUCUAUGAAUGUGACAAAGUAUUUAAAGUUCUCUCUAGAUAAACAAGGAGCAGUCCAAACAUCAGAGUGAACUAAAUCAAAGCAUUUCUCAUAAAUUGUUUUAGAUCUUUGAAAGACUGUCUUACAAUGCUUACCCAAGAUACAAGCUUCACAAUCAUUAUUUUUAAACAUGACACCUGGUAACAUUAAGCUUAAAGCUCUAACAUGAGGAUGGCCUAAUCUAGCAUGCCAUAAUGCAUCAUCAUUCAAAACAGAAGUAGAACUAAACGAGCAUAUAAAAGAAGCAGGAGCAAUAUCUUCAAGCAUAUAAAGAUCUCCCUUAGUUAUUCCCUUUCCAAUCAACUUACUGCUCUCAAUAUCCUGAAACUUCACAUCAUUAGGACUGAAUAUAACCUUGCAUUGUAAAUCAGUAGUGCAUUUCUUAACAGAUAAAAGAUUGGAUGUGAAUUCAGGCAUAUAGAAUGCUUUAGACUCUUUGUUAAACAGAUUCAGGUUACCAAUACCUUUAAUAGCUACUCUAUCACCAUUUGCAAUCAUAACAUGUCCAUGAGCAGGUUCUAUAUCCUUAAUAAGAUUAGUGUCACUGAUCAUAUGAUGAGAUGCACCUGAAUCUACUAUCAAAGGCUUAAUUUGAUUAUGCACAGCAAGAGUAUUAGGUGAUUCAGUUUUACAUAGCAAUUGUCUAAUGAGUGAUGAUGGCUUCAAAGGCAACUGAUCAUGUACACUAGAUGAUCUAUAUGAUUCAUGUUUAGUAUGCAUUUGAUCAUUUUCUAAUGGUAACCUAUAUGCAGCAAGAGAGUGUCCAAGAGUGUUACCAAAGGAGUUACCAUUGUCCUUGAGAGCCUUAAUGAGAGCAUCAAUGUCUGAUCUACGGAUGGUCUCAUGGUCUGUGCCCUUCACGGAUGCGGUUUGAGUUGCCAAAGCUUUCCCAUCACCGUCUCCCACACGCAUAGCUGAUCCAGAUGCACUGGCUUCACUAGCUUCCAUUGAGAGAUGGGCCCUGGCUUCACGAUCCUUCAUGAACUUUGGCGGCUUGAGGUGGGGAUGAAGUAUCCGGCACUGGCUCCUCUUGUGCCCUGGCUUCUUGCAGUGGUCACAAUUGCCUCCAAACCUCCUCUCCUCUCCAUACCUCUUCUCUUCCGGCUUGUACAUUGCCUUGUUGGCUUGAACGACCUCAGCUUGGUUCGCUAGGGACAGGCUCCCUUUCCCUCCAAACAACCCAAGAGAACCUUCCUCCUUCUGUAUCUGAGCGCACACUUCCUCAAGUGUUGGUAGCUUUGAAGCCCUCAACAUGUGCUUGAUCAGGUCGUUAAAGGCCGGAUUGAGUGUCAAGAGUAAUCCGAACACUUGAUCUUGUUCCCUUCUCUCCAUCAGAGUAUCCUGAUCAAUAGUGUUCGGCCUAAGCAUUUCCAGUUCAGACCACAAGGCCCUGAACCUCCCCAAGUGUUUUGUGAACUCCACAUCUUCUUGCAUCAGUGUGUUGAUUGAUCUCUUCAACUCAAACACACGGCUCAGAUUUGUGGUGUUGCCAUAGACCUUCUGGAGUGUCUCCCACAGGUCCUUUGGUGUCUCACAGUAGCUGUAGGCUUCCAAGAUUGAAGCUUCAAGGGAGCCAUGAAGAACGGUUAGAACCAACAGAUCAUCUUGCUCCCACUUCUCUUGAUCCGCCACCACAAGCUCCUGCCCACCUUCUCCAUCUUUAGCAACUGGUUUAGGAGAUCCAUCCGUGACGUGACUCCACAAACCCUUGCUCCCAACGGCUGUCUUCACCAGCCUUGACCACAGGAGGUAGUUUCCUCCCCCUUUCAAAGUAACCGGAAUGGACAUCUUCUUGUUGCUGCUUGCUUCCAUCUUGCGUUUUCUUGGAUUGAAUCAACAACGAAAAUGUAUAGAUCUCAAACUGAAGCUGAAGAACACACAACGAGAAUCCUCAAGAACUAGUAACCUGGCUCUGAUACCAUAUAAGUUUUAAGUAUUAGGAAAAGUAUGAAGAGAAUGGAUGGAUUUGAGACUGAUUUAGACUAGAAUCAUGAUGAACAAGUAAGGGUUUGAUAAGGAGAGACUCUCCGUGUGUAUUAUUAUUAAUGAACACCAGUUUACAAUAUAUAGAAGGCUGAGACAUAACAAGGGCUAGCUAGGUUAAAUGAAAAGCAUGUGGAGUCAACAGGCAAGGAGCAUCCGGUUUGAAUUGAGUGGCUAAGGAGCUUCACACGCUUUGGUCCUUGGCUAAAGUAGCUUUUACUUUACAGCUAGUGACAGCCUGGAUGUUCCUGCCUUAUCCCUUCAACAUUCUGAUCCAGGAGCUGAGUAAGAUGUGUGAAACUCUAAGUUAACUUCACCGGGGUAACUUGUGGUCGACUCAACUCCUUUCAUCAUCCUGAACUGGUACGGCCUGUACGGCUUCUACAUGUACGGAUGACCUGACCUCAACUCCUCUCCAUUACUCCAUACUUCUCUACACCAUCAGCCUAUUAUCAAGUCUUCCUCUUCAAUUGUUUACUCUGUUCAACAAUAACAAGGUAGAAUCACUCCAAGAAUCAUCAUCUGCCUCACCUUGUGACAAUCAACCUCAAUGUGCUUUGUUCUCUCAUGGAACACAGAAUUAGAUGCAAUGUGGAUAGCUGCUUGAUUAUCACAAUGCAUUGUCAUUGGCGUUGCUUGAAUAAUCUCUAGAUGCUUCAAAAUCCCUUUUAUCCACACUAGCUCAUUUGUAAGCUUCAGCAUUGCUCUAUACUCGGCCUCAGCACUGGAGCAAGACACUACCUUCUGUUUCUUACUCUUCCAAGUGACUAAGUUACCACCAAUGAAUGUACAAUAGCCUGUGGUUGAUCUUCUGUCUGCUCGGUCUCCAGUCCAAUCUGCAUCACAGUAGCCUACAACCUCAAUACUCUUGUUACAUCCCAUCCAUACUCCAAGACCAGUAGUUCCAUUCAGAUACAUCAAGAUCCUUUCCACCAUCCGCCAAUGGUGCUCCUUAGGAACUUGCAUGUGUUGACUGACUUGAUUCACCGCAAAACACACAUCAGGUCUAGUAAUGGUAAGAUAAAUCAACUUCCCCACCAGCUUCCUAUAUAGCUUAGGAUCAUGGAACGGCUUGUUAUCCUCAAUCUCCCCCUCACGUGGAACCUUGUAACCAUCCUCCAUUGGCAUCUUGGCUGUCUUUCCUCCAUAGGCAUCUGCUCCCUUCAAGAGAUCAAUCACAUACUUCCUUUGGGACAUAAACAAUCCUUCCUUUGAUCUGCAUAUCUCAAUCCCAAGAAAAUAUUUCAUUUCCCCCAAGUCUUUAAUUUCAAAGCUUGCCUUGAGAUACUCCUUUGUAGCCUUAAUACCUUCCUUAUCACUGCCUGUGAUGAUGAUAUCAUCCACAUACACAAGCAACACCACAAUACCAGAUGAGGUGGUUAGGGUAAAGAGAGUGUGAUCCAAUUCUGACUUUCUGAACCCUCUCCCAUUCAGUGUAGUACUCAACUUGUUGUACCAUGCCCUUGGAGACUGCUUGAGACCAUAGAUAGCUUUCCUCAACCUCAACACAUUACCCUUCUUUACUAGAUGUUCAAGACCUGGUGGUGGAUGCAUGUAUACUUCAUCUUCUAACUAUCCUUGAAGGAAUGCAUUCUUCACAUCCAUUUGCCACAAAUCCCACUCAAGAUUCACAGCUAAAGAUAAUACAAUCCUGAUAGUAUGAAGUUUAGCCACAGGAGCAAAGGUCUCAACAUAGUCCUCACCAUAUGUCUGAGUAAAUCCUCUUGCCACCAACCUAGACUUUCGCCUCUCUAUUCUUCCAUCAGGAUGAAACUUGAUUGUGAACACCCAUUUACUAGUCACUGCCUUCUUCCCUUUAGGCAGCUCACUCUCAUACCAUGUUUCAUUCUUAAUCAUGGCUCCGGACUCAUCAGCAACUGAAUCUCUCCACUCCUUUAAAGCCAUAGCUUCUUCAUAUGUCCUUGGAAUAUAGCUCUCAUCCAAGCUUACUGUGAAGGCUGUAUGCUCGUCUGGAAACUCUGCAAAGGAACACAUGGCUUGAGAAGGAUGCUCCACAGCCUGGGCAUUGUAGUACACUCUCGUGUUUACCUAGUUGGAAGCAUCUCUCUUCACCCUUGUGCUCCUCCUUAGCUCCUGAACUUGUUCUUCUUGUGGCUCUUGCCCAUCUUCACUUGAUUGAGCACCACUCUCAUUUGAACCAUUAGGAUCUCCUUCCCACUCUCCACUCUCAUCUGAGCCAGUAGACUCUCUUUGCCCAUCUCCACUAGACUGAGCACCAGUCUCUACUUCCUGUGUCACCUCUUGAUUAUGCUGGCCUGAAUCUUCUUGAUUUUGCACUUGCUCAUGAGAUUCAGUUCCAUUCCCCCUCUCAUGAUCAAGAGGAGUUGCUCUUUCAGCUUCACUAGUCGAAUUGGAAGACUCUCUUCUUUCUGAUUCCUGAUCCUGGGAUAACCGUAUCCCUAGCUUCUCCAACAUCACCCUCAGUGUUGUUGCUCUAUCAGAUGGAGCUUGAGACAAAUCCUUCAGAUUUUCCCACUCCUUUUCUUCAUAAUACCCUUUUGAUUCAAUAAACUUCACUUCUCUAGAUACCAUCACUCUCCUUGCUUCAGGAUCAUAGCACUUGUAUCCCUUCAGAGUGAUAGAGUAUCCAAUGAACAUAGCCUUAGUACUCUUUGCCUCCAGCUUGUUUCUCUGUUCUCCUGGGGUCAUGACAUAGCAUACACAUCCAAAUACUCGUAGGUGAUCAAUAAAUGGCUUGCUCUUAUUCAGCACCUCAAAUGGAGACAGAUUCUUCAGUAUCUUGGUUGGGACUCGGUUGAUGAGAUAACAAGCAGUCUGUACAGCAUCUCCCCAAAAACGUUUUGGGACAUUUGCAUGAAACAUCAUCGACCUAGCAACCUCCAUCAAGUGCCUAUUCUUCCUCUCAGCUACACCAUUCUGCUGUGGUGUGUAGGGACAACGAGUCUGAUGCACAAUCCCAUGCUUGGCUAGAUGACUCUUAAAGGCAUUGCUGAUGUAUUCACCUCCGUUGUCUGAUCUCAGCACCUUCACAGUGGCAUUGUAUUGAUUAGAUACAUAUGCUUGGAAGUUCAUAAAAGCUUCUAGCACCCUAUCUUUAGAUGGAAACAAUGUGAGCCAUGUAUACUUAGACUUCUCAUCAAUGAAUGUCACAAAGUAUUUAUGGCUGUCUCUAGACAUGCAUGGAGCGGUCCACACAUCCGAGUGAACUAGAUCAAAGCAAUGCUCAUAAGUAGUCUCAGAUGUUGGAAAAACAGUCCUACAAUGCUUUCCUAAUAUGCAUGCUUCACAAUUCAAGUGAUUGAAUGACAUAUUAGGGAUUAUCAAUUCAAUGGCACGAGCAUGAGGAUGUCCUAAUCUAGCAUGCCAAGUAUACUAUCAAUCUUCUCAGCAGUACUUCUCAAGCAAAUAGAAUCAAAGGGAUUAGAGGUCUUAGCCAAGUUGAGGUGAUAUAGCUGAUUCUUGCUGUCUCCUCUGCCAAUGACUCUCCCAGUCUUCAAAUCUUGAAACUCCACUUCAUCAGGUCUGAAUACUACUUGACAAUCAAGAUCAAUGGUAGCUUUCUUCACAGAUAAUAGAUUUGAAGUGAACUGAGGCAUGUAGAAGGCAGUUGUGUCCUUCUCAAACAGUUUUAGCUUUCCCACUCCUUCUAUUGGGAUCAUGGCACCAUUAGCUAUCAUAACACUCCCUGUUGCAGCCUUGAUCUCACUUAUAAGCCUCCUAUCACUGAUCAUAUGAUGACUUGCUCCAGAAUCAAUCACAAUUGGUUUAGAAGCUCCGGAUUGUAUAGCCUGCUUCCUGCUUGCUGCUAAGGCUUGUACUUGUUCCAUGAACACUCUCCAUUCUUUCCUGGUGAUGCGAUCAUCAGCUCCACUCUCUUUCUCCUGCUCUUUUAACACCCCACUGUCUUCUACUGAUUCCCCCAUGUAGGCUGAGUAAGAACACUCUCCCAUAACUCUCGUUCUACCCUUUCCUAUGUUGAUAGAGGCUUUGGAUAGCAUUCUGCACCUCCUCCUCUUCUGGAAGCCCUCACUCCUACUCCCGGUUAGCCUCCAUGAGCUCUCACUCCUACUCAUGGUUAGCUUCUGGAAGCUCUCACUCCUACUCCCAGUUGGCUUCCAUGAGCUCUCACUCCUACUCAUGGUUAGCCUCUCAUCAUAUCUCAUUAUCCCAUACGCCCUUCUUAUAAGCACACAGACCUCUUCCAUUUCCGGAAGCUGUUCCUCUCUUAGAACCAUCUCCACCAGCCACCCAUAUGAUGACUCCAUACUCGCCAAGAGCUUCAGCACCGUCGCUUGCUCUUGUGUAGUAUCCCCAUCCACAUGAGAUCUCAACCCUUGUAGUUCAACCCAUAAAUGUUGUAGCUUCCUCACAUGGUUAUUAAACCCUUCUCUUCCUGGUUUAACUUCACUAAUCACCUUCUUGACUUCAUACACUCUCCUAAGACUGAUCUUGUCCUCAUAAACAUCUUCAAUCUUCUCAAGCAGUGUACUUUCUUCAAGACUGAAGCAAUCUCCACUUGUUUUUCUUGCUGUCUGAUCUUUCUCAGUAGCUUUACCCUUCAAGGACUCUUCCUUCUCAUAGUUUCUCCAAACUCCACAACUUUUCAGAGUUGUUUUCAUCUGUGAGAACCACCCCCACUCAUUCCCUCUCUCUUUCUUCUCUUCACGCCUUGUUGUACCAGAUUGAAGCAGCUCCAUCUUCUUUAGCCUAGAUCUUCACUCAGAUGCUUCUAAUCUCACACGCCAAGCUUAACCACAAGCUAGACCCCUCUUCUGACCUUGUCAAACACCUAAAGAGACUCCCUUGAAGCUGACUCUCCAAACGAAACACCAACAGACACAAACUUGACUUUUAAAGGAUCUAGCUCUUGAAAAAUCUCUAGAACUCUCAAGAACACUCAAGAACAUUUGGAACCACGAAAUCACUCUCUCCUUUUAAAAGAACCUGGCUCUGAUACCAUAAUAGAUUUAGUGAUUUAAAGAGUGAUUAAGUUUAAUCUGAGAAUUAAAGAGAUUGGAGAUUAAGAACAAGAGAGAGAGAGACUCAAAACUCCAUUAGCUUGAUUAAUGAGAGAGUUUACAACAUAUAUAGAUUAGAGAUACAUAUUUUCGUCCAGGUUCAGUCUAGUUAGGAUAAGAAGCAUGUGUAGUCAAAGAUGCCUUAUUCAAACCAGCAAAUAAGGUUCCUCACAUGCUUGGGUAUCUUGCUUUAGCUUUCCAGCUGGUGCCAGCCUGUCUAAAGCUCUCUUCCCUUGACCAGACCUUAUCCAAACUCCUCCUUGCUUAUCCAGACUCCUUCUGUCGUGUUUCACUCUCCAAAUGGAUGCAAGGUAACUUCCCAAGUCUUUUAACUUAGUUACCACAGUAACAAUAAAGUUACUGUGGUAAAUCUCCAAAGUUACUACCUGCUCCAAAUCCCUUCCUCUAUCCAUGUAUCAACUCUUCAUCUCCUCAUCUCAACACUUUAUUCUCUUAUCUCAACAGAUUCAAGCUAUGGCAACACACAAGACAAUGCAAUAACCCAAAACAUGAGAUUCUGGGACUCUAGACACCACUCACAGCACAAUAAAUAAAGACACAAGCUCUUAUUAAGGGUUAGGAGGUUUGCUUACAACCAAGAGAUCCGAGCUGAUCUCUUAAACCUCCAUGGACACGGCUCACUUGAACUUGGCAGGUUUGAGGCUUGGAUUCAGUAUCCAACACCUCUCCUUGGUGUGUCCAUCCCUCUUGCAAUGCUCACACCUCAGGCCUCUUCUAUCCCCCUUCUUGUACACCGUUUUCAUGGGCUGAGAGCUUCCUUCAGCGUGUGAGGCAAAGGUAAGUGGUUCCUUUGCUCCAAACAAUCCGUGUGAGCCCUCCUCCUUUUGGACUUGAGCACACACCUCUUCAAGGGUAGGUAGCUUCUCAGACCUCAAUAGGUGUUUGAUGAGGCCACUGAAGGUGAGACUGAGAGUUAGGAGGAGGCCAAACACUUUAUCUUGCUCCCUUCUUUCAUUCAACACAUCCGGCUCAAAUGAUUGAGGUCUAAGCAUCUCUAGCUCAGACCAAAGGGCUCUGAACUUUCCUAGAUGAGUAGUGAACUCCUCUUCUUCUUGGGACAUGUUGUUGAUGGCCUUCUUGAUCUCAAAGACUCGGCUGAGGUUGGACAGGUUCCCAUAGAUCUUCUUAAGUGUACUCCAAAGCUCUUUAGCACUCUCAUAGUAGGAGUAGGCUUCAAGAAUGGAUGGAUCCAAGGAGCUUUGGAGUAUGGAGAGGACAGUGAGGUCUUCUUGUAGCCAUCUGUCUUCAGAGACCGGUUUGGAACUUGCUUCACCUUCAGCUUGGGUGGCGACAGCUUUGGAGUGGCUUGGAGCAUCUGAGAUGCAAUGGCUCCAUAAACCCUUUCCUCCUAUGGCUGUCUUGGCUAGGCGUGACCAGAGAAGGUAGUUGGGGCCUUUGAGAGUGACUGGGAUGACAAUGGCUCUUUUGGACUCCAUCUUGAGGCUGGAAAGAGCAAAACUGUCAAGGAACUUCUUCAAAGGCUGGCGCUUGGGAGCUGAGUGAACUGAGCUGAACUGGCGUGGGCUGGAGCUUGUGUUUGUUGCGGAAGCUUCUACCAGGAGUCUGAGCAACCUGGCUCUGAUACCAUGUGAGAUUUUCAGAGUACAAGUGCUUGAGUGAUGUAAGAACAGAUGAGAGAUUUGUGUAUGAUGAAGUAUGAAGAAUAGAAAUGAGUUUAAGAGAAUCAGAGAGAGUAUGGGAGAGACUAAGAGAUUAGGAACGUGUAUGGGAGAUUAGAGAGACAUAGUAACCAGAGAAUAAGAUCCAAGAACAAGUUUAUGAAGAAGAGAGACUCUCUCAGCUUAAAAGUUACAAAAUGAUCCUAAGAGGCUUAUUUAUGCCUUUACACAACUCAGAUCAUAAACCUAGAUCCUAAGGCUGUAAAUUAAAGAUAAAUGGAUGGUUAGGAUGAGAGGAAGCUGGUCUUUGAUGUUCUGGUGCUAGCUGGUCUUUGAUGUUCUGGUGCUAGCUGGUCGUGGUUGGACUGAAUGGAGGGCUCAGAUUGCUUCAUUUGAAUUGGAUGGAUCAGAUGAGUCAAGGCUGUAAAGGUAAAGCACCUUUACCUUUCCAGCUCAUACCAACAGCUCACCUUAUCCAUUUGAUUCUUCCUUUGCCUCCAAGACUCCCCAACGGACACUAUAGGAAAGGAUAGAAUCAGAGUGAACCACCCUCACAUUGCACAUCUUGAUUUGGGCUGAACCGGAUGACUUGGGCGUGUGGAGUGGCCGUACGGUUGAUGGUACGGACCUCCUGUCCGUACCACUAUCCCUAACAAUGCACAAUGCCUUAUCUCCUUCUUGACUGACCCCAACCACCUUCAUGAUUCACCCUCGACCGUACAAGGCCGUACCAUGGCCGUACCACUCGCCCUAGCUUUGCACCUAUGGCCAUCUUCUCUCUAACUCCUCCAAACCCUUAACAUGAUCAGUCUAAGUCUUUCCUAGACUUAACUUCACAAGAUAACUACUUCAGAACACUUCUGAAGCUUGAUUGAACUCUUCUGGACAUCUUCUAGAGCUUGCCCUAUUAUUGUACAAGCUCUAUCUUCUCUUCAGUUCAACACUCCCCCUCAAGCUUGACUUUAGGAGAUCCUAAGCCAAGCUUGGAACUCUGAAGAGUCUCCCUCAUUAAAAACCUUACAAGGAAAACCCAUUGGGACAAAACCUUGAAAGGGAAAAAGAGUAGAGCUCUCCAAAGCCUAGGGAUUGGCCAGUGAGCUCUUGUGCCUUAGAACCAGUGUGGUUGGACACAAGAAGCUCUGGAUCACGGCCUAAUAGGUGCAGCAACACUUCACAGCUUUGCGCACACUUCACACUUCAGCUUCACCUCUUCAUGGAACCGGUUUGAAGUCUCCCCCUCUCAACUGACUUCACAGCCAUCUUAGAGAAGCUAGGACACGACCAGAUCAUCUUCAAAACACCAGUAAGGCUGAUCAACACUUCAAACUAUGCUUGCCCUCUUCAUAGAACUGGUUUGGAUCUCCCCCUCUCAACUGACUUCACAGCCACCUUAGAGAAGCUAGGAAAUGACCAGGAACAUCUUUAGUGAGACUCAAGCAAUGGUACCUGAUACAUUAUCCCAAAGGUGGAUCAGUACUUAUCAAGGAACAUCACACAAUCCAUUCAAACAUUUUAAGUAUCAUUUCUAAACUUUGAUUUGAAAUGAUGAAUGUAUUGAAUUGAAUUGAGCUUAGAACACUUCCCUUUUGUUUUGGUGAGUUCCCACUCGGCCAUUGCACCAUCUCCAUGGCAUCAUCAACUUCUUGGAAAGGCAGAAUGGAUUCAUCAGAUUCUCAUCUAUCACUUCACCAUAGAAGCCGCUUUGAUGAGUUCACCUUCACCCUUAGACUGCCUAGAAUAGCUUCGGCUGAUGAUCCUUUGUAGGAGCCUUUGCAAAGACUUGUUACUGACCAUGGAUCAUAUGCAUUAAGACUCCCCCUCAAGCUUAGAACCGAGACUAGAAGGAGCUAAGCUUGUGAUGAUCAUAUGCAUCCCCAUGGUCUUAUUAAACACUUUUGUGUUUUAGAGUGUGUUUAAUAAUAAUCAGAGAAGAUUAGAGUAAAGUUUAGAGAGAAUAGAGAGAUUCUAGAGAGAGAUAGACUCAAAACUCCAUUAAUUAAUUUAUGAGAGAGUUUACAAUCAUAUAUAGAAAAGAGAUACAUGAUUUCGUCCAGGUUCAGUCUAGUAAGGAUAAGAAGCAUGUGUAGUCAAAGAUGCCUGAUUUGAACUAGCCAAUAAGAGUCCCCACAUGCUUGGGUAUCUUGCUUUAGCUUUCCAGCUGGUUCCAGCCUGUCCAAGGCUGUCACACUCUUUGGUUAUGACCAGACCUUAUCCAAACUUCUCCUUUCCUAUCCAGACUACUCCUUAGGCGUGCUCCACUCUCCAAAGGUAACUUCCCAAGCUCUUAACUUAGUUACCACAGUAAAACUAAAGUUACUGUGGUAAAUUCCCAAAGUUACUGACAGCCCAAAUACUCUUCCUCUAUCAAUGUAUCUUCUCUCUAUCCUCUCAUCUCAACACUCCCCCUCAAGCUUGACCAUGUGGAACAAGUCAAGCUUGGAAACCAUGAAGACCUCCCUCAUUAAAAACCUCACCAAAGAAAACCCAUUGGGAUAAAACUUUGAUGAGGGAAAAAGAGUGGAGACUCCAUGGUUAAGGGGCUCAGCUCCUGGGAGUAAGAUCAAUGAGUCCAAGCCUGGAUAGUAUGGACUCCAUUGUCUUCAAUCUCGCUGCCUUGGUAAACACAUCUGCAAGCUGAUCUUCACUCCUUGUAUAACAUGGCAGAAUCACUCCUAAGAUAAUCAUCUGCCUCACCUUAUGACAAUCCACCUCUAUGUGCUUUGUUCUCUCAUGAAACACUGAGUUGGAGGCAAUGUGGAUAGCUGCUUGAUUAUCACAAUGCAUAGUCAUAGGAGUACUCUGCUCAAUCUCUAGAUGCUUCAAGAUCCCCUUGAUCCACACCAACUCGUUUGUCAGCUUCAACAUGGCUCUAUACUCAGCUUCAGCACUUGAACAAGAGAUAACCUUUUGCUUCUUACUCUUCCAAGUAACCAAGUUCCCUCCAAUGAAUGUACAAUAUCCAGUAGUUGAUCUCCUGUCCACUCUAUCUCCUGCCCAAUCAGCAUCACAAUACCCAACCACUUCUGUACUACCAUUGCAACCCAUCCAAACUCCUUGACCAGGCUUACUCUUCCAAGUAACCAAGUUCCCUCCAAUGAAUGUACAAUAUCCAGUAGUUGAUCUCCUGUCCACUCUAUCUCCUGCCCAAUCAGCAUCACAAUACCCAACCACUUCUGUACUGCCAUUGCAACCCAUCCAAACUCCUUGACCAGGCGUGCCACUCAAAUACCUCAGUAUCCUAUCAACCAUCUUCCAAUGAUGUACCUUUGGCGCCUGCAUAUGCUGACUCACU